AUGCAGCAGAUAGGCGCCCUCAUUCCUCUUGCCACCCACCAGUUCCCUCAACAUCCAUGCCGAGUAUACACUACAGGUGGAGGAAGAUCCAAUUACUGCCAACUUGUGAUGCCCGUUGGCCAAGCAUAUCUCCUCCAGCACCAGGUCAAGGCUGCUCCUAGAGCACCCACCCCCCUACAAACUGUGACUACUGUGAACACAAACCAGGAUUCCACUAUAAGGAAGGAUAAAUAUUUCGAAGUUGAGAUGAAAGUUCAUGACACGGAACUCGACAAAUAUGGUGUUGUCAACAAUGCUAUCUACAGUAGUUACAUUCGAAAUGGUCAUGACAAGCUAUUGGAAAGCCUUGGAAUCAGUGUAGACUCGAUGGUAUCCAAAGGCAGUGCACUCGCUCUUUCAGAAGUACAUCUAAAGUACAUUGCACCUUUAAGGCAUUGCCAGAGUGGUGAUAGGUUUGUCGUCAAGGUGAAGCUCGGGCAAAUCAAAGGUGUAAGACUGAUCCUUGAGCACACAAUUGAGACACUGCCAGAUCAUAAGCUCGUAUUGGAAGACAAAGGAACACUUGUUUGCCUUGACAAAGACUAUCAUCCAACUCGCAUAUUCCCAGAGGUCUCAACAAAAUUUCUGCAGUUCUUCUCAUCCAAGGAUGACUAA
rnacentral:rRNA from 1 species